UUCGUAGGUGGUGCGGCAAGUUGGAAGUGAAAUCUCUGGGCUUAACCCAGAGGCUGCUUUCAAAACUGCCGCGCUCGAGUGCGAGAGAGGUCAGUGGAAUUGCAGGUGUAGCGGUGAAAUGCGUAGAUAUCUGCAGGAACACCCGUGGCGAAGGCGGCCGACUGGAUCGCAACUGACACUGAGGAACGAAAGCUAGGGGAGCAAACAGGAUUAGAUACCCUGGUAGUCCUAGCCCUAAACCAUCAGAACUUGGGGUGGCCCGCGUAGGCGGGUCGUCCCGUAGCUAACGCGUUAAGUUCUGCGCCUGGGGAGUACGGUCGCAAGACUGAA
rnacentral:rRNA from 1 species